UUGGAGGGCAAGUCUGGUGCCAGCAGCCGCGGUAAUUCCAGCUCCAAUAGCGUAUAUUAAAGUUGUUGCAGUUAAAAAGCUCGUAGUUGAAUUUCGGGAUCAAUACGUCGGUCGUGCCUCCGGUAUGUACUGGUGUUAUUGAUUUCUCCCUUCUGAUGAACCAUGAUGUCAUUAAUUUGAUGUUGUGGGGAGUCAGGACUGUUACUUUGAAAAAAUUAGAGUGUUUAAAGCAGGCUCACGCUUGAAUACAUUAGCAUGGAAUAAUGAAAUAGGACGUUCGAUUCUAUUUUGUUGGUUUCUAGGAUCAACGUAAUGAUUAAUAGGGAUAGUUGGGGGCAUUAGUAUUCAAUUGUCAGAGGUGAAAUUCUUGGAUUUAUUGAAGACUAACUACUGCGAAAGCAUUUGCCAAGGAUGUUUUCAUUAAUCAAGAACGAAAGUUAGGGGAUCGAAGACGAUCAGAUACCGUCGUAGUCUUAACCAUAAACUAUGCCGACUAGGGAUCGGAUGAUGUUAAUUUUUUAACGACUCAUUCGGCGCCUUACGGGAAAC
rnacentral:rRNA from 1 species